rnacentral:rRNA from 1 species
AUUGAACGCUGGCGGCAGGCCUAACACAUGCAAGUCGAGCGGAGCGGCGGACGGGUGAGUAAUGCCUAGGAAUCUGCCUGGUAGUGGGGGAUCACGUCCGGAAACGGGCGCUAAUACCGCAUACUAUCAGAUGAGCCUAGGUCGGAUUAGCUAGUUGGUGGGGUAAGGGCCUACCAAGGCGGCGAUCCGUAACUGGUCUGCGAGGAUGAGCAGUCACACUGUAACUGAGACACGGGCCAGUCUCCUACGGGAGGCAGCAGUGGGGAAUAUUGGACAAUGGGCGAAAGCCUGAUCCAGCCAUGCCGCGUGUGUGAAGAAGGUCUUCGGAUUGUAAAGCACUUUAAGUUGGGAGGCGUUACCCGCAGAAGAAGCACCGGCUAACUCCGUGCCAGCCGCCGCGGGAAUAC